rnacentral:rRNA from 1 species
GAUGAACGCUAGCGGCAGGCUUAAUACAUGCAAGUCGUGGGGCAGCAGGGGUGUAGCAAUACAUCUGCUGGCGACCGGCAAACGGGUGCGUAACACGUACGCAACCUUCCCGUUACUGUGGCAUAGCCCAGGGAAACUUGGAUUAAUACCACAUAGUAUGUUGAGGGGGCAUCCCUUUGAUAUCAAAGCUUCGGCGGUAACGGAUGGGCGUGCGGUGGAUUAGGUAGUUGGCGGGGUAACGGACCACCAAGCCUACGAUCAAUAGCUGAUGUGAGAGCAUGAUCAGCCACACGGGCACUGAGACACGGGCCCGACUCCUACGGGAGGCAGCAGUAAGGAAUAUUGGGCAAUGGACGAAAGUCUGACCCAGCCAUGCCGCGUGAAGGAUUAAGGUCCUCUGGAUUGUAAACUUCUUUUCUCUGGGGCGAAAACCAGCUAUUCUUAGCUAUUUGACAGUACCAGAGGAAUAAGCACCGGCUAACUCCGUGCCAGCAGCCGCCGUAAUAC